rnacentral:tRNA from 1 species
UGGGGAUUGGUGUAACGGUAGCACGACUGAUUCUGGUUCAGUUAGUCAAGGUUCGAAUCCUUGAUCCCCAG